rnacentral:rRNA from 1 species
UACAGAGGUCUCAAGCGUUGUUCGGAUUCAUUGGGCGUAAAGGGUGCGUAGGCGGCGCGGGAAGUCGGGUGUGAAAUCUCGGAGCUUAACUCCGAAACUGCAUUCGAUACUGGCGUGCUUGAGGACUGGAGAGGAGACUGGAAUUCAUGGUGUAGCAGUGAAAUGCGUAGAGAUCAUGAGGAAGACCAGUGGCGAAGGCGGGUCUCUGGACAGUUCCUGACACUGAGACACGAAGGCCAGGGGAGCAAACGGG